UUUUAGAGAUGUGAGGGAUUGAGUAAACAUGAGAAAGUUAGCGAAGUAGCAGUCUUUUUUUCUAGCAUAGCUUAGUUUUGCUUCAAACUUGAAAGUUGUCCUUGACCAGCGUCUUUAACCACUUUAACCAUAGAACCCCAAGGGCUAGCUUCAUUGGGCAGUGUGUCCUAAUGAACCACAGACUGGAGAGCUAGAAAUUGGACUUGUUCAUUCAACAUGAGGACAUAGGAGCUACAUGGCCUUAAGCAACUGAUUUCACUUAAGGCUGUUACGAGCUGAGCUCUGCCAUGCUCUUCUGCCAUGAUGUUCCUGCCUGAAGCCAGUUGCCUAUGGGCUGAAUCCCCCAAAACGUGAGCUAAAUAAAUCCUCUCAUUUAA